UUCUCCCAUUUCAACGUCGCACCUUUCUUCUCCGUUCUCCAGACCACAACCCUUUUCUGCUAUCAUUUUCUCUUCCAAAUUUCAGCCACAAAUUGACGCGUCAGCCCCUCCAUUAUUUAUGAAGCAAAAAUCGUCAGCCUUUCAGCUUCUUCCAAUUUCGUUUCUCCUCUGUACAGCUGCUCAAGUGACGCGUCGGCCCUACCACACUGCAGAAACGGAAUUCGCUCCAGCCCCUGAAAAAAAAAAAAAACGUAAUUCAUUUCUUCCUUGGCAGCCCCAUUUUCUUUUCUAUCUUCAAUUCGUCAGCCCCACUAAUUCCAUACUGAAACGCGUCAGCCCCAAUUUCUUUUCCAUACUGCAGUUUCUUCUCAACGCGUCAGCCCUAUCUUUCACUCUGCUGUUCUUCGCUCCAGCUUCAACAAAACUCGCACGUUUCUUCCUUGUCAGCCCUACCACUUUACCCAUCUCAAGCACAAGCUGACGCGUCAGCCUGCUUUGCACAACACUGCACUUCCUCUUUGUUCCAGCUUCACAACGCCACUUAUUUCUUCCCUGUACAGCCCCACAACUUCACACAUUUCAACCACGUGCCAGCAUCCGAUUUUUGCUAAAAUACAACUAGUCAGCCUUCUAAUUUUCUUCUCCGCUUCAAGCACGACAGCCUCACAUUUCCUCCCUUGCAGAAUCGCGUCACUUGUUUCCUCAAAUUUUCAAUUUUACCUCUACAACCCAGUCACGCUAAGGCCACACAUCAAAUUCCAGUUUUUCACAAUUGAUUUUUCUUGAUGUGGAUCAAAUUCCAGAAUGGAUGCAUAUGAUUUGGAGUCAUUUAAGCCCUUUUAAGAGUGAAAAUGGAAACUUAAAGAAGCAAAUAAGAAGGGUUUACAUCAAGAGGCAGAAAGUAAUUAUGGGCAGUCUUAUGGUCAUAAUUGGUGCCCAUAAUUACUGGGCGUGAA